GACGAACGCUGGCGGCGUGCCUAAUACAUGCAAGUAGAACGCUGAAGAGAGGAGCUUGCUCUUCUUGGAUGAGUUGCGAACGAGUGAGUAACGCGUAGGUAACCUGCCUGGUAGCGGGGGAUAACUAUUGGAAACGAUAGCUAAUACCGCAUAAAAUUGAUUAUUGCAUGAUAAUUAAUUGAAAGAUGCAAUUGCAUCACUACCAGAUGGACCUGCGUUGUAUUAGCUAGUUGGUGAGGUAACGGCUCACCAAGGCGACGAUACAUAGCCGACCUGAGAGGGUGAUCGGCCACACUGGGACUGAGACACGGCCCAGACUCCUACGGGAGGCAGCAGUAGGGAAUCUUCGGCAAUGGGGGGAACCCUGACCGAGCAACGCCGCGUGAGUGAAGAAGGUUUUCGGAUCGUAAAGCUCUGUUGUAAGAGAAGAACGGGUGUGAGAGUGGAAAGUUCACACUGUGACGGUAUCUUACCAGAAAGGGACGGCUAACUACGUG
rnacentral:rRNA from 1 species